rnacentral:rRNA from 1 species
UUCGCAAUGCCCGAAAGGGUGACGAAGCGACGCCGCGUGGGUGAGGAAGGCCUUCGGGUUGUAAAGCCCUGUCAGGAGUUAAGAAAUGUAAGUGUGCUAAUAUCGCAUUUACUUGACGAAGGCUCCAAAGGAAGUCACGGCUAACUCUGUGCCAGCAGCCGCGGUAAUACAGAGGUGGCAAGCGUUGUUCGGAAUUAUUGGGCGUAAAGAGCACGUAGGUGGGUUUGUAAGUCAGAUGUGAAAGCCUCCUGUUCAACGGGAGAAUUGCAUCUGAAACUACUGAUCUUGAGUAUAGGAGGGGAGAAUGGAACUUCUGGUGGAGCGGUGAAAUGCGUAGAUAUCAGAAGGAACGCCGGCGGCGAAAGCGAUUCUCUGGCCUAUUACUGACACUCAGUGUGCGAAAGCUAGGGGAGCAAACGGGAUUAGAUACCCCGGUAGUCCCAGCCGUAAACGAUGGGCACUAAGUAGAGGGGUUUU